rnacentral:rRNA from 1 species
UACGUAGGUGGCUAGCGUUGUCCGGAUUUACUGGGCGUAAAGAGCGCGCAGGCGGUCGUUCAAGUCGAGUGUGAAAGCCCCCGGCUCAACUGGGGAGGGUCACUCGAUACUGAUCGACUCGAAGGCAGGAGAGGGAAGCGGAAUUCCCGGUGUAGUGGUGAAAUGCGUAGAUAUCGGGAGGAACACCAGUGGCGAAGGCGGCGACCUGGACAGAUAUUGACGCUGAGGUGCGAAAGCGUGGGGAGCAAACAGG